UGCCAGCCGCCGCGGUAAUACGGAGGGUGCAAGCGUUGUUCGGAAUUACUGGGCGUAAAGAGCGUGUAGGCGGUCUGUUAAGUCGGGUGUGAAAGCCCUGGGCUCAACCCAGGAACUGCAUUCGAAACUGGCAAACUGGAGUGUCGGAGAGGGUGGUAGAAUUCCCGGUGUAGAGGUGAAAUUCGUAGAGAUCGGGAGGAAUACCGGUGGCGAAGGCGGCCACCUGGAAGAUAACUGACGCUGAGACGCGAAAGCGUGGGUAGCAAACAGGAUUAGAUA
rnacentral:rRNA from 1 species